rnacentral:rRNA from 1 species
GNCNUGUAAACGGGGUCUAAUACCGGAUAACACCUGCCCGGGCAUCUGGGUGGGUUAAAAGCUCCGGCGGUGAAGGAUGAGCCCGCGGCCUAUCAGCUUGUUGGUGAGGUAGUGGCUCACCAAGGCGACGACGGGUAGCCGGCCUGAGAGGGCGACCGNNNANACUGGGACUGAGACACGNNNANNNNNNNUACGGGAGGCAGCAGUGGGGAAUAUUGCACAAUGGGCGAAAGCCUGAUGCAGCGACGCCGCGUGAGGGAUGACGGCCUUCGGGUUGUAAACCUCUUUCAGCAGGGAAGAAGCGAAAGUGACGGUACCUGCAGAAGAAGCGCCGGCUAACUACGUGCCAGCAGCCGCGGUAAUACGUAGGGCGCAAGCGUUGUCCGGAAUUAUUGGGCGUAAAGAGCUCGUAGGCGGCUUGUCACGUCGGNUGUGAAAGCCCGGGGCUUAACCCCGGGUCUGCAUUCGAUACGGGCUAGCUAGAGUGUGGANGGGGAGAUCGGAAUUCCUGGUGUAGCGGUGAAAUGCGCAGAUAUCAGGAGGAACACCGGUGGCGAAGGCGGAUCUCUGGGCCAUUACUGACGCUGAGGAGCGAAAGCGUGNNNAGCGAACAGGAUUAGAUACCCUGGUAGUCCACGCCGUAAACGGUGGGAACUAGGUGUUGNCGACAUUCCACGUCGUCGGUGCCGCAGCUAACGCAUUANGUUCCCCGCCUGGGNAGUACGGCCGCAAGGCUAAAACUCAAAGGAAUUGACGGGGGCCCGCACAAGCAGCGGAGCAUNNUG